GACGGGAGAUGCAAGCGUUAUCCGGAAUCACUGGGCGUAAAGCGUCUGUAGGUGGUGAUGCAAGUCACUGGUGCAAAACUCUGGCUCAACCGGAGGAAAGCCAGUGAAACUGCAUGACUAGAGUGUGGGAGAGGUAGAAGGAAUUCCCUAAGUAGCGGUGAAAUGCGUAGAUACAGGGAAGAACACCGGAGGCGAAAGCGUUCUACUGGAACACAACUGACACUGAGAGACGAAAGCUAGGGGAGCGAAGGGG
rnacentral:rRNA from 1 species